CCUACGGGGGGCAGCAGUGAGGAAUAUUGGUCAAUGGACGAGAGUCUGAACCAGCCAAGUAGCGUGAAGGAUGACUGCCCUAUGGGUUGUAAACUUCUUUUAUAUGGGAAUAAAAUGUUCCACGUGUGGGAUUUUGUAUGUACCAUAUGAAUAAGGAUCGGCUAACUCCGUGCCAGCAGCCGCGGUAAUACGGAGGAUCUGAGCGUUAUCCGGAUUUAUUGGGUUUAAAGGGAGCGUAGGUGGAUUGUUAAGUCAGUUGUGAAAGUUUGCGGCUCAACCGUAAAAUUGCAGUUGAAACUGGCAGUCUUGAGUACAGUAGAGGUGGGCGGAAUUCGUGGUGUAGCGGUGAAAUGCUUAGAUAUCACGAAGAACUCCGAUUGCGAAGGCAGUUCACUGGACUGCAACUGACACUGAGGCUCGAAAGUGUGGGUAUCAAACAGGAUUAGAUACCCGUGUAGUC
rnacentral:rRNA from 1 species